GCUCUGGUGGUGGAAUUGGUAGACACGCAACGUUGAGGGCGUUGUGCCGAAAGGCGUGCGGGUUCGAGUCCCGCCCAGAGCACCA
rnacentral:tRNA from 1 species